CUUUUAAGGGAAAUCAGUAAUCCGGUGGCCUUAGAAG
rnacentral:tRNA from 1 species